UCUGGUAACUAUGGCAAAGAGGUCACACCCGUUCCCAUACCGAACACGGAAGUUAAGCUCUUUAGCGCCGAUGGUAGUUGGGGGUUUCCCCCUGUGAGAGUAGGACGUUGCCAGGC
rnacentral:rRNA from 1 species